UCUUGGAAACAUGGAAAGUGGGGUGGAUACGGCGAAGAGGGGCAGGGAGCUUGAGGCGGACAGCGGCGGGCAGAGUCCCUCAGUACUAAGUACUGACACAUACGCUUAAAUGUAUCAAAGAUAUGAAGCAAAAUCAGCAGUGACAGUGAGUGACUCCACACAGACAAAGGCUUUCUCUGCUAUACAACUCCCCAAAAGCAUGACCAGCACCAUGAUUUAAAGGACUUUCAAUAAUUGAAUGGCAAUUAGCUUAGUUUCAAUGCUUCUGAGAUUAAUGCAAAUCAUAAAACAAUGUUUUAAAUCACAACUGCUGCUAUUUUAAAAAGGCAUCACUCAGAUGAUUAUGCUCAUAGCAUCACACACACACACAAAAUCCAAGCAGAUAGAGCAAACACAGCCUGGCAGACAAUUACAUAUAUCAGUUAAACAUUACAAAAAAGAGGGGGGGAAACCUCAUUGAUGGAGGGAGACUUUUGAGGGAAUUUCAUAAGGUGGUCACCUGGGUGACACAAAAAGCUGUCUAGUUUGACAUUAGACUUCAGGUUGUGCUGAAAAAUAAAAAAUGCCUAAUGCUUACACACUAAGACUUUUCCUUGCAGAAAAGAAGGCAUGUUCAGGUCAUGGUCAACACAUUGCAUUGCAUUUUUUUUUUUUUUCUGUAAUCAUUUUCAUGCAGCAGGGUAAGAUACUACCAAUCUUGACUAGCAGCUGUUUAACAGUACUGUUGGACAGCUAGGCCUACUUUAUCAUCAUAAACUUUAGUAACAACAUCUAAGAAAGACAAAACACAUAUCAGUCCCCUUAAUAUGCAUACAUGUGGAUGAUUUGAUAUCGCUGAUGUAACACUCCACAGAUACUUUGGAGGUGCAUCAAGCUGAAACAUACGCUUAAAUGUAUCAAAGAUAUGAAGCAAAAUCAGCAGUGACAGUGAGUGACUCCACACAGGCAAAGGCUUUCUCUGCUAUACAACUCCCCAAAAGCAUGACCAGCACCAUGAUUUAAAGGACUUUCAAUAAUUGAAUGGCAAUUAGCUUAGUUUCAAUGCUUCUGAGAUUAAUGCAAAUCAUAAAACAAUGUUUUAAAUCACAACUGCUGCUAUUUUAAAAAGGCAUCACUCAGAUGAUUAUGCUCAUAGCAUCACACACACACACAAAAUCCAAGCAGAUAGAGCAAACACAGCCUGGCAGACAAUUACAUAUAUCAGUUAAACAUUACAAAAAAGAGGGGGGGAAACCUCAUUGAUGGAGGGAGACUUUUGAGGGAAUUUCAUAAGGUGGUCACCUGGGUGACACAAAAAGCUGUCUAGUUUGACAUUAGACUUCGGGUUGUGCUGAAAAAUAAAAAUGCCUAAUGCUUACACACUAAGACUUUUCCUUGCAGAAAAGAAGGCAUGUUCAGGUCAUGGUCAACACAUUGCAUUGCAUUUUUUAUUUAUUUCUGUAAUCAUUUUCAUGCAGCAGGGUAAGAUACUACCAAUCUUGACUAGCAGCUGUUUAACAGUACUGCUGCACAGCCAGGCCUACUUUAUCAUCAUAAACUUUAUUAACAACAUCUAAACACAUAUCUGUCCCCUUAAUAUGCAUACAUGCGGAUGAUUUGAUAUCUCUGAACUAACACUCCACCGUCUAACAGAUGCUUGGAGGUGCAUCAAGCUGAAACAUAUGCUUAAAUGUAUCAAAGACAUGAAGCAAAAUAGACUUCAGGUUGUGCUGAAAAAUGAACAUGCCUAAUGCUUAUGUAACCCACCUUAAAGUUUGGUUACUAAGACCAUAACUUUAGUUUUAGAACAGUUUGAGUUCAAUAAAUAUUUUAAUAUAUAAAUAGAAUAAAUAUGAAUAAAUAGCAAGAAGCUGAGUUUACAUGAUUAUAUGUAUUUCUUUUUUGGUCUGCUUGGAAGUGCAGGUAUUCUAAAAUACUUUUAUUGUGGUAUAGUCAUCUCCUAGGUGACGGGUUUGUUUUUCACAACCCAAGACUCACAAUUCAAGACUCCACUUGAAUGAAAUUGAUUAGACGUUACUGAUAAUCCUCUUAAGAAAAUGAAUACUAACUUUAUCUAACUCUAAUCUAACUUUUUCUAAAUCUAUUGAUCGUAUUGAAUCAUCUUACCUUUCCUUAUACCUAUUUUUCUACUGAUUGUUGAAGACCUGUGUUGUUUGAACCUCGAACUCCGAUUGGUUUUUUAUGUACACUGGAACACUGGAUGGCGAGUCAGUCUCCUUGGAUCGAUUGAAUUGUUCUACCCUUUCAUACUGGAUAACCAACCCCUUGGAUCUGUUCCCUGGAUACAGAUAAGCCUUCACACAUACACUGUCAUUGUACACUCACACCACCUUACCCGGGUAUUUCUUUUCUUUUGGACAUUUGAGUUUUUAACUAUUGAUUUGAUACUUUGCAUUUUUAAGAGCUCUUUUAUUAUUUUAUAGGGUUUUGUAUUUAUUUACUAUUUAUUUUCUAUUUACCAAUGUUUCCUCUUCUUUUCUCAUAGAGAAAAGAUAUUCUUGCAUUUAAUAAACCUGCAUUAUUUAUUUAUAACAUUUUA